UGGUAUGGGAUGACCCCAGUUCCUUCUUCCAUUGUUUCUUCUGGUAGGCAUUGUAUGUAAACAAAACAAAGGAUGAGUUAAAAAGAUGAAUUCAAUAGAGCUCAUGCUCUUUCACACGACAUGAACAUUGAAAGAAGAGAGACUUUCCUAAAAAUGCCUUGUAGCCUCUUGUCCUUAAGUAUGGCACAGUUCACACCCAUGCAUAAAAC
rnacentral:lncRNA from 1 species